UAGGGAAUCUUCCACAAUGGACGAAAGUCUGAUGGAGCAACGCCGCGUGAGUGAAGAAGGGUUUCGGCUCGUAAAACUCUGUUGUUAAAGAAGAACAUAUCUGAGAGUAACUGUUCAGGUAUUGACGGUAUUUAACCAGAAACGCCACGGCUAACUACGUGCCAG
rnacentral:rRNA from 1 species